GGGUUGUGAGGUUAAGCGACUAAGCGUACACGGUGGAUGCCCUGGCAGUCAGAGGCGAUGAAGGACGUGCUAAUCUGCGAUAAGCGUCGGUAAGGUGAUAUGAACCGUUAUAACCGGCGAUUUCCGAAUGGGGAAACCCAGUGUGAUUCGUCACACUAUCAUUAACUGAAUCCAUAGGUUAAUGAGGCGAACCGGGGGAACUGAAACAUCUAAGUACCCCGAGGAAAAGAAAUCAACCGAGAUUCCCCCAGUAGCGGCGAGCGAACGGGGAGGAGCCCAGAGCCUGAAUCAGUGUGUGUGUUAGUGGAAGCGUCUGGAAAGGCGCGCGAUACAGGGUGACAGCCCCGUACACAAAAAUGCACAUGCUGUGAGCUCGAUGAGUAGGGCGGGACACGUGGUAUCCUGUCUGAAUAUGGGGGGACCAUCCUCCAAGGCUAAAUACUCCUGACUGACCGAUAGUGAACCAGUACCGUGAGGGAAAGGCGAAAAGAACCCCGGCGAGGGGAGUGAAAAAGAACCUGAAACCGUGUACGUACAAGCAGUGGGAGCACGCUUAGGCGUGUGACUGCGUACCUUUUGUAUAAUGGGUCAGCGACUUAUAUUCUGUAGCAAGGUUAACCGAAUAGGGGAGCCGAAGGGAAACCGAGUCUUAACUGGGCGUUAAGUUGCAGGGUAUAGACCCGAAACCCGGUGAUCUAGCCAUGGGCAGGUUGAAGGUUGGGUAACACUAACUGGAGGACCGAACCGACUAAUGUUGAAAAAUUAGCGGAUGACUUGUGGCUGGGGGUGAAAGGCCAAUCAAACCGGGAGAUAGCUGGUUCUCCCCGAAAGCUAUUUAGGUAGCGCCUCGUGAAUUCAUCUCCGGGGGUAGAGCACUGUUUCGGCAAGGGGGUCAUCCCGACUUACCAACCCGAUGCAAACUGCGAAUACCGGAGAAUGUUAUCACGGGAGACACACGGCGGGUGCUAACGUCCGUCGUGAAGAGGGAAACAACCCAGACCGCCAGCUAAGGUCCCAAAGUCAUGGUUAAGUGGGAAACGAUGUGGGAAGGCCCAGACAGCCAGGAUGUUGGCUUAGAAGCAGCCAUCAUUUAAAGAAAGCGUAAUAGCUCACUGGUCGAGUCGGCCUGCGCGGAAGAUGUAACGGGGCUAAACCAUGCACCGAAGCUGCGGCAGCGACGCUUAUGCGUUGUUGGGUAGGGGAGCGUUCUGUAAGCCUGCGAAGGUGUGCUGUGAGGCAUGCUGGAGGUAUCAGAAGUGCGAAUGCUGACAUAAGUAACGAUAAAGCGGGUGAAAAGCCCGCUCGCCGGAAGACCAAGGGUUCCUGUCCAACGUUAAUCGGGGCAGGGUGAGUCGACCCCUAAGGCGAGGCCGAAAGGCGUAGUCGAUGGGAAACAGGUUAAUAUUCCUGUACUUGGUGUUACUGCGAAGGGGGGACGGAGAAGGCUAUGUUGGCCGGGCGACGGUUGUCCCGGUUUAAGCGUGUAGGCUGGUUUUCCAGGCAAAUCCGGAAAAUCAAGGCUGAGGCGUGAUGACGAGGCACUACGGUGCUGAAGCAACAAAUGCCCUGCUUCCAGGAAAAGCCUCUAAGCAUCAGGUAACAUCAAAUCGUACCCCAAACCGACACAGGUGGUCAGGUAGAGAAUACCAAGGCGCUUGAGAGAACUCGGGUGAAGGAACUAGGCAAAAUGGUGCCGUAACUUCGGGAGAAGGCACGCUGAUAUGUAGGUGAAGUCCCUCGCGGAUGGAGCUGAAAUCAGUCGAAGAUACCAGCUGGCUGCAACUGUUUAUUAAAAACACAGCACUGUGCAAACACGAAAGUGGACGUAUACGGUGUGACGCCUGCCCGGUGCCGGAAGGUUAAUUGAUGGGGUUAGCGCAAGCGAAGCUCUUGAUCGAAGCCCCGGUAAACGG
rnacentral:rRNA from 1 species